UGAAUUUUCUUUGUUCAUCAUUAUAAAAAUAAUUUUACCUUAAAUAUAAAUUCCUUUUUUUCUUUUUCUAUAUUUAGGUCACAAGUUUUAUUUAUAACAACCAUGUUAGUCUUGCAUCAAUAGCACACAAAUAAAGUACAAAGUGAAAUUCUCCCCAAUGGCUUAUCAAUCUCGAGUUUGGUGGAUAUUGUUCGUUGCUUUUGUUUUGCUUUCAGGAUUCACAACCAGUGUUGAUCCUGAUCCUCCAGGAGUUACGUGCACCAACCAGGCAUGCACAUAUGAUCACGAAUGUGAUGCUUUUUGUAAAUUUUUUCACAAUAAAGGUGGUGGAUGUCUAGAUACCGAACCUCGGCGUUGUUGUUGUCGUGACUAAUGUAAUUGUACUCUUCAAUACGUCUUUAUGAAUAAAAAUGAUUUAUCAUCAGUGGAA